CACAGCUCUACUGCCUCACUUCCAACCCACCAUUCAUAUAUACAUGAAUACAAACACAGCCGUGGAAAUGGGCCAAAGUUGAGCUGCAAUGGAUGAUUGACUUGCCUUGGAAGAUGGAUGCCUAUGUGAAAAAAAAGGACCCCACUAAAUGAUGUUGCCACCACUGGGUUUCAUUGUGCAGAUGCUGUUUUUGGGAAGGUGGUCUCUUCUGGAUAAUUCAAUGAUCCCUGAUGAUAAACUUAAAAAUAUUCACAGUUCAGACGUCUCAUUUUUAAUAGCAAAAAGCAAACAAACAACUAAGAUGUAUUCCUUUCCUUUCACAAACCAGUGCACUAGUCGGUGUUUAUGUAUCACACAACACCCCUAAAUUACUUUAAAGUCUGUUGUUAUAAAAGUGGAAUGUAAGAAAUUUCAGUGGUAAGGCUACUUUUACAAGCCACUGUAGAUGUAACAGGACUCCUGCAAACUAAUCAAAGCUUCUUAGGUCAGUAAAAUAGAAAUAGAAAGAAAACGUAAAAAAAAAAACAAUA